rnacentral:rRNA from 1 species
GGGUCAGUAGGUUGGUCGUGCCACCGGUACGUACUGGUCUCACUGAUUCCUCCUUCCUGAAGAACCGUAAUGCCAUUAAUUUGGUGUUGCGGGGAAACAGGACUGUUACUUUGAAAAAAUUAGAGUGUUUAAAGCAAGCUAACGCUUGAAUACAUUAGCAUGGAAUAAUGAAAUAGGACGAUCGAUCCUAUUUUGUUGGUUUCUAGGAUUGACGUAAUGAUUAAUAGGGAGUUGGG